UCGUUUUAGAUUAUUAUUUUUUUUAAUCCAUUGCUUAUGAUAAUUAUGUUAGCUAUGCAACUGUGAUGGGAUUCCAGCAUGGUCAAAAUUUAGUAGGCCAAAAUCUCCACAUGGCAUAUGCUAAUUAGUAUCUGGUUACAAACAGUUGGAUGAGUCAUCAGUAUACGGAGCAUGUGUGAAAGUGGAUAGUAAAAUCCUUUGUCUUCAACAAGCCAUGUGGUCUGCCAUAUAAGGUGAUCCUGAAUAUCCUGUGUGCUGAUUGGUCUGAGGAAUAUAGGAGGGGUUAUACUGUAUGGGAGGAGAUAUGCAGUUAACAAAAGUCUCAUGCACCAGGUAUUUGUCUCUCAGAAUUUUGGAACAGGAGUUCAUCUGAGACCCGAUCGGUAAUGUGAAUAAAGGCCUCUUACUUCCUGAAGACUUGUGUCCAUAUCUCUGUGUUUGGC